CCUCAAGUUUCAACAUGGAUUACACUACUCACCUUUCUUCUUGUCCUUCUCCUUUUUAUCGCCAGGUUCUUUUUCACUGCUGUAAAAAAAGAAGUGCGAAGAAAAUAGUUCCUGCGAGAUGCUGGAGGCACUAAUAUACGGAUCCCAAUUAUGGCACAAUACACCGCGACCGGUUUCAGCGAACUCGCGGCUGCUACGUCUCAACGGAGUUAGCUUUGGUUCGACUACGAAAGACUAUUGUAGCUAAUAAUGUUCAAGAAACAACUUCGGACUUCAUCUUGUAUUUUUAGAGCUUCUCAUUUUGUUUCAAGCAUAUAAAAUGUUAGAAAAGUGAAUACAGUUUACUACUGACUGUGAAUUAUUAAUAUUAUCAUCGUGUUGAUAUUCGACGAAAAGGAUGAAAAACACGCGUAGGCGUUCGUGUCGACGCGUAUAAUCGGUUAAACAGGCCACGACGAAUCCGUUUCAAGAGUGGUACCUUCACCAUCGUCAACGGGGACUGUAAUUGCUUUAUAGCACGCUGAUCAUAAUUAACGUGGACACACCUUAGAGAUUUAAGAAUCCAACAAACGUUACAUUGAAUUUGAAUAUAGAAUCGUGAAAGACUAGAUUUCUAAUCGCCGAAUAUUUUAUCAUUUAUAGUGGAAUUUUCUAUACAAUUUUAAGGGAAGAACAUCAUUUCUCCAAUCUUAAAGAAAUAUAAUCGCAAAUCAUAUUGAUUCUUUUCAUUAGAAACUUCUGGUAAAUAUUUUAUUGCUGAAUUAAAAAAAAUAUAUCAGAUUCUUACUUAAUAAAAUAUUUAACGUAAUUCUUUUCUUUAACAUCUAGGAUACAUUUCAUCGUACUUCUCUCGUCGCGUGCGAUUAUAAUUCUGUCUACGCAAAUGAUGGCGAUGAACGUUCUAUUAUAGGGACGUAACAACGACCUUGUAUGUUAACUCGUGCAUAUAUUCGCACAUGCAACAACCUCGUAUGUAUUUGUAAUUUUUCAACAUGAGCGAAACUGGAUGCGGGAGAGCAUUUUUGAUUUUAACACAAUCGAUAUAUGAUGCGUGCCCUUGCCCUUUCUAAUCGCGCACUCGACGAGGCGUGUAAGGUCGUCGAAUCGCCCAUAGGAGGCCUCACAUUAAUAUGCUUAUAUUACGCAGGGGACAGACGGAGAACCAAAGAGAGAGCGAGAGGAAGAGAUCUUGUAUGAUUAGUCCAAAGGAUUACGUAACUGCUUGCAGCGUUCAUUACAAGAGAUCAACGUGUAAGCGCGCGCGUAUAUGCGACGAAUGAAGAACCAUAAAUGCGGAAAAUAUCCCGGUAUACAAUACCGAUAACUCGCCGCAACUGGAACGAUCAAUGUCACGUCAAUGUUCUAUGGCUUGAGUGUAGAAGGCCAAAUAUCAUAUAUUGGAAUAUAUGGUUUGACGUCAUAUUAUUCACGGUGUCAAGAUUGCUCGAGCUAUUUUAAUAAUAAACCAGUUGGAGCAGACAUUAAAUAAACUACUGAACCAUUAGUGCAGUUUAUGAAUUAUGAAUAAUUCAAAAUAAUGGUCCUUGCCUUCGUUUUGAAAGUACUUAAUCUGCAACCUCAGAAAUUUCAGGUUUAAUUUCGUAAUUAAUAAUAAAAAGUUUUGCUUCGUUAAACACAUUAUCCCGAUAACAUUUAUAUACCACAGAAAUUAUAUUAGCCGUGAGUGACAUAGUUUCAAAGUUACAAGUACAAUACGUUGAUAGGAGAUAAAUGGUGGCUUAGAAAGUUCUGCAGUCUCUUCAUAUUUCUCUUUCUAGUUCCGAGCCGCAGAAGGACACCGGUUAUUUUAGUUCUCCGAAGUAUACGGAGACUGAUGUAUAACGCAACAUACAUCUACUAUACUCGAAGUAUCAUUACGCCGUUCGCUUUUACAAUAGAAAACGGUCGAGCUGGAUACGUCCCGAUAAAAAUUUAUAAAAAAGCGAAAGUAACAGCUUUUGAAGAAUUCGAAAAAAUAGGGUAAUAGUGGUGGAGAAUUUCGACAACGGAAUUUUAGUGCAUAGCUGAAGUGAUUCACAUACACGAGAUCGUCGAAUCUGGAUCGAAUAUAGCUCCUUUGUUGACUGUCUAAACUUUGUUUAUUUUUAGGAUGCGAAAAAUAAGGCUUUCAAGGAUUGUCCAGCUUCUUGUGAAACGAGAGAUACAAGAGAUGUAUACAUGCACCAAAUGACUAAACGAUCGACUAAGAAUAGAGGAAAUUGUAAAAGAAGCGUAAGAAGUCGGAAUGUUACUUCGCAUUUCAAGCAACGUUCAUUCCGUGACAAAUGUUCGUGAUUUACGCCAGACCUGGUAAACUAGACGAUAAAGACGGAUAACUGUGAUUUUUUACACAAGAUAAUCCGGCACGAAAGGAAACGCAGUAGCUCAUCUUCAUCAAGCAUAAAGGAAGAGAACAACCGAGACGAUUUCUUUCAGCGAGUGCGAGAAAGCGCAACGAAGUCGACCACUCUGUCGAAAGCACUAUGCAAUUACUGUGAGUUUCACAUGAUAUUGAUGGUCAUUCCUUUGCAAAAUUCAACGUCUCAAGGAACACGGAAAUAUAUAAAGGUAUAAGGAAAUACUUCAAUCGGUUAUAACAUAAAAAUUAAAAAUUUGUAACUGGACUGCUACGUGUAACAUUCCGGUACUGUGAUACCGCGCUGUGACUCGACGAUAUUAUAUUUAUUCUAAAAAUAGAUGGUAUCAUUAACAACAGGAAUAUUGAACGUGCAUGAAUUAACGUGGCUCAUAUCGGGAAUAUUUACGAUAUAACGCAACGCACUAAUGAAAGUGUUAUACGUUGCGUGUACAUACGUAUACACUCGAGACUUUUAUGCCCGUAAAAAAUCCGGAUGCACAUACGCACGCAUGCACGCACGCCGCACGCACGCACGCACGUGCUGUUAAUUAAAAAACGCAAGGGACACAGCGCGGGAUUGCACGGCUUGAAAAUUGUUUCAAACAUAAGAAAUGUUCGCCAAUGUCCGACAGGAAUCUAACGGAGAUAAAGGCAAAGUACAUCCGCAUUGCGAACGAAAGAGUUUCGUGCGUCUGCUUCGAACACAUUUAUUCAACGAAUUAUUAAUAAAUAAAGAUAAAUAUGAGAGACGUCAAUAAAUAGGUGAAUGAUAUCUCUGAUAGUUUUAUAUAUAAAAAAUUUAAACAAUUAAAUACAAUAAUUAGAUAUAAUUUUAACAUAUUUAUUAGUUACAUUAACGCAAUUAAUAUUGUUUAUUAAUUAUAUUAAUUAUAUUAAUGUAAUAAAUAAAUCAAUGUAAUAGUGUAAUAUUUGUAAUUUCCAGUAAAUGAAUGUUACAUGUAUCACCCAUUUAUUAUUCAGAUAAUUUGUUCAUGUCACAAAGUUUGUUCCUCGAGAACACGUAAUUGCAAAUCUGUAGCGGGUUCUCAGCAAAUUAACAAACUUCUCGCACCUCACGUGCGUUAUGUAACGAUUAUCAGAGUUAUUUGGAGUUAGGGAGUUGCAAUUACCAUAAGUGUAAGCCUCAAAUGUCGGUGCGUAUCGAUAGAACAUAUAGUAAACUAAUUAUCUUAUUUCAGAUAGGAACGAAGAAGUGGCCUAGCUUUAGUCGAGAGUCAUUGUCUAAAGAUAAUACGCAGAAACGGCAUUACAGAGCGUUUUAUUGCCUUAUUAAAACUUUCAGCCGUCACGGAAGCGUAAUAAUAAGAAGCAAUUAUCACGUGCACAUUGCGGAUCGAUUGGUACACUAUGCAAUAAAUCCGACGUAAAACAGAUGAUUUAGGAGCAUCGGCGUUACUCUGUGCCGUGUUUUUCCCCGAGUAAGAAUGUCGAGCGGCCUUUCAGAGGCAGAGGAGAAAGCUUUUGGUCGAGUGUGUAAUCUAGAAAUCAGUCGGUCAGGCUUUGACUUUGGAAAGUUACGGUUUAACAAUACGUUGCAAUAUGUAUAAAUUUAAAUAGUAAUAACACGAAUUGAUGAAAAUAUCGUGACUCGUUGCGGUUGUGCUUGUUGUAAAAUGUUUGUCGGCUCGCGAACAUUCUCGUUGACGAUUCAGUUGCAAUUCGUGUCACUCUCUUGAUUUCUCGAGUCGAAUUUGCAAGCAGAAUUGAGUAGCACAAGUAGCAAGAAUGAUCGAUUGCAUAUUGCUCUCAAUAGGAUCACACGCGCUGGCUCGCUCGCCAGUCGCGAUAUUUACGAGACGUAAUAAGUCGCGGGGAAGGAGUAUGUUUACGCGGUUGUCAGCUGCUUCCAGAUGCACGAGUGCGUGCGCGGCACGGCGGAAACAAAGAAAAUCGCGCACCGCGAUUCUUCGACGGCGCGCUCGCGCUCGUGCGCCGCGAUUCUAAUUAUCUAAGUCUGUCACGGCCACAAACACAACUGGUGCAACGAGGCACAAUGGGCUCAAUAUCCGGUCGAAGAAAUCGCGAUGCGCGGCCAGGCCGGCCGUUUCAAGGAUGCGUCUUCGACAAAUUUCGAGUUAAUUGCGAGAAUGCCCUGAUUAAUUAAAUUCGAAUUCUAAAAUCGACAACAAGUUAUAUUUGUUACAUUAAUUUUGAAACAAACCGUAUUGCAAUCAUUGUGAUAUAUUUGUUAAAAAGAUGAAAAAUACGUGGUAGAUAGGAAUUUUUAGAAGACGGAAAUAAAAUUGGAGUAUGUUAAUUUAAUUUUUAUUAGCAAAGAAUUUUUAUAGGCACGGUCAAUAUCUCUCGCUUGGAAGGGAUGUUUUUAAAGAUGUUAUCAUUAUAAACUAUACAUUUUUAUAUAGACUCAAAAUAAAAAUACGUUAAUUAGUUUUUGUCUGUUAACCAAGUGCUCAUAAAUAAAACUAACAUUUUUCUUUUUUAAAGUAAAGGUGGUUUAUAUAAAUAUUCAUACAUAUUCUCUAGUUUACUUACAACGAUUUAAUUUCGAAAGCGCUAACAGAAGAUUCAUGGAAAAUCUACUAUAUACAUUUUAAUACUUUUCUGAAGACUUAUAAUAACUUAUAUUUUAAAACUCAAGAUACUAAAAAAAAUGUAACUUAUUGUUAGUUAAUUCGAAUACAUUCAGUUCUAUUAUUGUUGAAUACCCUUAAAUGGAAUCGACAUUCUUUCCCAGGAGAAAAACAAUGCUCGGUAACGCCGAUACUCUUAUUAACGCCUAAUUAAUUCUUAGAAAACUGCACGUUAAGAAACCCACGGGUGCGAACUCUUUCGCGAGAUACAACGCUGCCGCGUAUACAAUAGAAAAUAAUAGACUCACUUUUGCACGCAACAGAGCUUGAUGCCAUUCUCGCGAUUUUCGAUCGAUACCAACGCAAAGCGUUCAGGUUGAUCGCCUCGAUAAAAAUCUAGACGCGCGUGAAUCGGUUUCGCGAUACUUCGAGCGAGUCUCGUUGACGUGAUACUUUUUCGCGUGCACACGCCGAGGUGACUGCGAAAUAACUUUUUUUCCUUUACUUUCAAUCUGCAUUAUAUUAUAUAGAGGAACAGGUUUUCACAUUUAUUUUCUAUCGCAAAUUAGAGACAUCUGAGGCAGAGCUAAUAAAUCUCGCAAGAUCACUUGGGUUUUCGAAUUAAUGAAAAUUUUCAUUCAAAGAGUAAAAUUAUUCAAACUCGUAGGCCUAUUUGAAGUUGGAAUAUUGCGAGAAUCUCUCGCUUUUUAUCGUAAUAAUACAUUUCAAUAUAUUUUAUAACGUAUUGCGCGGAGAGAUAAAAAGUUAUUUGUACGUCGACGGGAGAGCUGCCAGAAAUGGCAUCACCCGCAGGCCGCAGCUCGGCGCAUCGGCGAUCAAUUCGCAUCUCAAUCACGUCAACCUGAAGAACGGCGAGAUAACGCAAUGAAAAAUGACUAGACGAUACAAUAGGCCCGUCCUUUUCAUCGUCACUCCCGGUUUUUUCCCGCAUUUUCUGCUCUCCCGAGAGAACAGCGGUUUUAUAUUCAGGAGUGAGCCGCACAUCUUGCUUCCACGAAGUGGAGAAAAUAGAAGAGCCGCGGCCAAGGGAAACAAACUACGCGACUUCGCGUCGCAGUAUUACACGUAUUACGUAUUUGCAGGUCAAUUUGAAUAAUGUUAUGCGUUCAUAUGCCGCACGCGAGCUUGAAAAUUAUCUGCAUCGCGAUAGACGCUCCAGCUCCGAGUAACAUGGUAUCACCCGCGGGACCCUCGCGCCGCAGGAUCAGCAGCGAUCGACUCGCGCAGCAAGGACACCGCUCGUCAGCCUCGUGAUAAUCGUAAAUUGCGGAAGCACGAGCUCUGCGCGGUGUUAAGCUGGCUCGUAAAGUAUCGCCAAUACAGAGGCAAAGUCCAGAGCAGCGAUCGAGCAAUGUUAACGUUCCUAUCUUGUAUGAUCUGAACGCUCGUAUGUCUUGCGAGAGAUUACGUUAUGUGAAAAGAACAGCUUUGCCGAAGUGCCUAAAAGUCUAUAGCUAGAUAAAUCCGAAAAUAAUUUUGUUGGACCGUCGAGGUUGGACGGUCAAACUGAUCGCUGAAAUGUCGAAACCUCUUUCGCUCAUCAUUCAUCCAUCAUAAUUAUUUCGAAUGAUUCGACAAAAUGAUUUUCAGAUCUAUGUAGACCGAAAUUUUUUUAGACAAGGUAGACAAAUCGUUCGUUCCAUGUACCGUUACGGGGUUAUCGUAGAAAAACAUAAAUCACGACGCGCUGCAAGAUGGAGGAGCAAUCAGAACGUAAAUAUAUCGUAGAAGCCGCAACGGAGAGAAAUUCGAUUCUCGAGACCGAUCAUUAUUAUACGCGAGUAACAAGGACUCGCCGCAUCCGAACGCGGCGAGUGUCGUCGCGAAACAAAUGGAGUCCGCGGGCGCGGGGCUGGCUCGGGCUCCCGUGUAUGUAAACAAACGGAGCUGUCAGUGUGUCGGAUCGAUGUAAACUGGCUGGAAUAACAGCUGUGCGCCGAGUCUCGCACGCGCGCGGAGUUGCGACGCGAACAAAGAAGACGACGAGACCGCGAGAGGAAGAGAGAGAGAGAGAGAGAGAGAGAGAACGGGACGAACGAGGGUGAAAGAGAACGCGAGCGAGACGGAGCGUAAAGCGAUGGGGACAACGACGUACCGUAGG